rnacentral:rRNA from 1 species
AUGCCGCGUGAGUGAAGAAGGCCUUUGGGUUGUAAAGCUCUUUUGUAGGGGAAGAUAAUGACUGUACCCUAAGAAUGAGGUCCGGCUAACUUCGUGCCAGCAGCCGCGGUAAUACGAAGGGACCUAGCGUAGUUCGGAAUUACUGGGCGUAAAGCGCGCGUAGGCCGUUGAGUUAGUUAAUUGUGAAAUCCCAAAGCUUAACUUUGGAACUGCAAUUAAAACUGCUUGACUAGAGUUUGAUAGAGGAAAGCGGAAUACAUAGUGUAGAGGUGAAAUUCGUAGAUAUUAUGUAGAACACCAGUUGCGAAGGCGGCUUUCUGGGUCAACACUGACGCUGAGGCGCGAAAGUAUGGGUAGCAAAGAGGAUUAGAUACCCUCGUAGUCCAUACCAUAAACGAUGAUUGCUAGAUGUUGGAAAUUUAUUUUCAGUAUCGCAGCUAACGCAUUAAGCAAUCCGCCUGGGGAGUACGACCGCAAGGUUAAAACUCAAAUGAAUUGACGGGGACCCGCACAAGCGGUGGAGCAUGUGGUUUAAUUCGAAGAUACGCGCAGAACCUUACCAAGCCUUGACAUGUCUGUCGCGAGUUUAGGAAACUAGACUUUUCGGUUCGGCCGGACAGAACACAGGUGCUGCAUG